GAUUGCAGGCUGACCUCGGUGUGCCUGCCCUGUGUUCCAGGGGAUUUCUUCAAAGACCCUCUUCCGGAAGCUGAUCUGUACAUCCUGGCCAGGGUCCUCCAUGACUGGGCAGACGGAAAGUGCUCACACCUGCUGGAGAGGAUCUACCACACUUGCAAGCCAGGUGGUGGCAUUCUGGUAAUUGAAAGCCUCCUGGAUGAAGACAGGCGAGGUCCUCUGCUCACGCAGCUCUACUCUCUGAACAUGCUUGUGCAGACGGAAGGGCAGGAGAGGACCCCCACCCACUACCACAUGCUCCUCUCUUCUGCUGGCUUCAGAGACUUCCAGUUUAAGAAAACAGGAGCCAUUUAUGAUGCCAUUUUAGCCAGGAAAUAACUGUUUCUUGUGACCUGGAACUAACGUCAAAGCACACAAGACAUAAUAAUAAAGACAUGUACCUCCA
rnacentral:lncRNA from 1 species